rnacentral:lncRNA from 7 species
AAAUAUUUGAAUUUCCACCAGUGGAGGGAAAUUAAUAAGAUUUUUUUUGAUGCCUCAAAGCUGAAGCCCCUCUUCAUGAAAGGCAGGGAGGUGUAGUGCUUCUGUGGUAGUUGACUUCUUCAGCAGUGCAAAGACUGAGAAUAUGUAAGGAAUGGGUCAAGAGAGGAAAAGCAAGAUUGCCCCAUUAGAUUACCAUCCUCAUUAAAGAUGGCCUCAUUCCUCUAUGUAUUCAGCUUCAUACCUAUUUUCCAGAUGGACUUACCCAGGCUGGGAUGUGCCUUUUGUCCUUUACCAGUGAGCCAAGCCUCAGCCCGGAGCUGCUUCUCCCGUGCUUGGAUACAGCAGUGGCAGGUGGGGAGCAUAACAGAACUGGGCUGGUCCCAAAAGGAAGCACUGAAAUGAGAUUUGUACCCUGAGCAGCCCUGCCACAACGUUCCUACUGAAUGCUCCUUCUGUGUGAAUGGGUUACGCAAACAUUCAAAAUGUCAUCUUGUGAACGUGCAUUUUCUUAGAGCAGUGUGCCUCAGACAUGUUCCACUAGAAGCUAAACUGCUCUCAUGUUCUGCUCUCAUAGACUUCUUGAAGAUGGUUGUCUGGUAUACCAUCAUAAGGAAAUGUCAUGGCAUAUAAAGUAGAGUACUUUCUAACAAUAGAUCUGCUAUUGACUUCAGACUUUCAUUCAUGGCAGUGUGAAACUUUAAACAGAUGAUUUAUUUUAUAAGACUUUAUUGAAGAUUUUCCCUUACGGACUGAAGUUCACUUCUUGAGAACAGUUUAAAUAGUUACCCUCCUCCUGGCUGUAAAAGGGCGGCACAGCUCUAUCAGUCAUUAUCUCAUGGCCUUUGAUCAGUGCUGUUCAUCUCACUGCGCACAGCUACCAGUGUUACUUGUACUGUGUAUCUCUUGCUGGGAUUAGUGCCAUUUCUGAGCUGUAUUACCAAGACUUAUGAGGUAGCCGAGGUGCUUGAUCUAGCGGUUGGCAACCCUGGCCACAGCA